rnacentral:rRNA from 1 species
UACGGAGGGUGCGAGCGUUGUCCGGAAUCACUGGGCGUAAAGGGCGCGUAGGUGGCCGAGCAAGUUCGCGGUGAAAGCCCGGGGCUCAACCCCGGGUCGGCCGUGGCAACUACUUGGCUUGAGCACUGUAGGGGCGGGUGGAAUUCCGGGUGUAGCGGUGGAAUGCGUAGAUAUCGGGAGGAACACCUAUGGCGAAGGCAGCUCGCUGGGACGUUACUGACGCUGAGACGCGAAAGCGUGGGGAGCAAACAGG